CUUUUUCUAUUUGCUUAAUUUAUUUUAUUAUAUCAUCUAAUGUAUUGAAUUGAUAAUAAGGUUAUUAAAAGAAUAGUAAUUGCUCUUUUCCAUUUUCCUUUUUUUGGUUUAAAGUGACUCUUAAUACGCUGGUGGACUCAUGGGCAUAAUGUAUAUACUUCCGGAUCGCCAGCUGAAACGCAUAGAGCGAUCACAACGAAAAAUGAAAACACGUUACCGAGAUAUUACUCGAAAACGAGGCUUGAGACGCACGAAAUCGAGGCUUGAAGCACCAAGUUCUAUUUUUGCCUGGACGCAUUGUGCCACCGUUCCCAAUUCGCUGUAGGCAGUCCGGGACGGCGUUAAAAUGGGUAUUUAAACACAGAGAAGAAGGAGAUCAACUAGCGACACUACCAGAUGUCCCUGAGGAAGUCCUAACUUAGGGCAAAAUGCGUAGGGCUGGAAAUCUACAUAGUGACUCAUUUAUUGUGACUUUUUGUCCAUUUUAUUGUUUUUCUUUGGAUUGCUUGCUGUUAUCAUCCUGUUUCUGUUCCGGAGGAAUUCCUUUUUUUUCUCUGGUUGUGGAAGAACAACACUUUGAUCCGCAAGAAAAUUUUAUCUUUGCUGUAAGUGCCCUACAGUUAAGGGUGUUUUUAUUUUGAAAUUGGUACACUAUGUUUGUAUUUCUUCCUCUCUUCCCUAUGUACAUAUGAGAUAAGAGAGAAGAAUCAAAGGCUACAUCGCUUAAAGAAACCCAUAAGAGCCUAUAAUCAAGUUAUGUCUUGUUAGUGCAAAUAAUGCCACCAACGCACAAUAGAG